GAUGAACGCUGGCGGCGUGCCUAAUACAUGCAAGUCGAGCGAACAGACGAGGAGCUUGCUCCUCUGACGUUAGCGGCGGACGGGUGAGUAACACGUGGAUAACCUACCUAUAAGACUGGGAUAACUUCGGGAAACCGGAGCUAAUACCGGAUAAUAUAUUGAACCGCAUGGUUCAAUAGUGAAAGACGGUUUUGCUGUCACUUAUAGAUGGAUCCGCGCCGCAUUAUCUAGUUGGUAAGGUAACGGCUUACCAAGGCAACGAUGCGUAGCCGACCUGAGAGGGUGAUCGGCCACACUGGAACUGAGACACGGUCCAGACUCCUACGGGAGGCAGCAGUAGGGAAUCUUCCGCAAUGGGCGAAAGCCUGACGGAGCAAAGCCGCGUGAGUGAUGAAGGUCUUCGGAUCGUAAAACUCUGUUAUUAGGGAAGAAAAAAUGUGUAAGUAACUAUGCACGUCUUGACGGUACCUAAUAAGAAAGCCACGGCUAACUACGUU
rnacentral:rRNA from 1 species